rnacentral:lncRNA from 1 species
CGAUGAUUUAGAAUUGGAAUUAAACAGAAUGCCUCCAAGGGGCGCAAGCACACGAGUACUGAAAGAAACGUUUAAGUUUAAACUAAGAAAUUGAAAUUACAUAUUCUUUGUUUGAGAGUGUUUGAUUCGGGGUCCUUUCUCUCUAUGUCUUCUUUUCCUUUUAUAUUCCCUUGAUGAUUUCUUCGUGACAGAGGGUAAAUAAGCCCUAAAAUAUGCAAGGGGACUUCGUUAUUGCAGUUGUCCUUGGUUCCCCAGGUACUCGGGAGGAGACCUCCAUGGCAAAUAUGAACGCUGUGGCUACCAACCCAGCAAAGCUACACUGCCGCUAGGAAACUGCUUGAUUGCUUUAUAACUACCAACUUUCUUUAUGGUGGCUAACUUGUCGUGGAACUGCCGUCUCUAACUGCUGCCACUACUCUUUAUCGUUCAACCGCCUUCAACUGGGUUCCUUGAAUCGUGGAAUGUGAUAAGGUUACUCAAUAACUGUUUCAAUAAUUGCAUUUCUGGAUAACUAUAACAUUUUAUGUUUGCUAAGAUCCUGGGCGAUUCGAAGGUAUGGGCGAGAACAGGGUCAUCGCUCGGGUGACUGUAAGGUACUCCGUUCGCUCAGAUCUUGGGCGUCUUGUAAGCUUGGACGAUAAUGUUACUGUGUUAGUGGGCUUCCACUGCAUUCAUUAAUAACCAUGUCUGGCCCUUUAUCCUGAAUUGCCCAAUUGAGUUUCAUUCUUUGGGCUAUUUGAUUUGGGAAUUCCUCAAUUAGACUUCAUUCCUUGGACUAUUCGAUUUGUGCUGCACUUUUAGUGCGUUAACAAUUACCCCCCAAUAUGACAUAAUUAAUACUAAUUAUUAAUCUUUGUCAUAUUCACUUUGUAUUUUUUCAGCAAUAUUUGAAAUUCUCAAGAAUUUCAAUCAUUAUUUCCUUCUACAAUCUGAAAAAGUGCAACGUUACAAACCCUUAUAAACCAAAAGGACACACCAUUUCAUUGCACCACUCGACCACGUCUAUAUUUCGCGCUUCUUCCUCGCUAUUUUACUGUUCAUCUUCUUGCUUUUCUGCGACGUUUCCCAAGCAAAUCUUGUCAAAACUGUACUUUGUUUCCAAUGGCGACUUCACAAACUCAAUCUGAUGAUUCCUUUAGUUUUGAAGAUUUUUAGAAACUCCUUACUAGGCCAUAUGUAAAUCCAAACUUCCUUAUACAAGUUAGUGCUGACCUCAAUGAAUUCUACUUGGGUCCAUCAUUCAAUAAUACCGAAGUCGUCGGACAAGUGACGGUGGGCCAGCUGUUCCCUUGCACUCAAGGUCCUCCGUUCCUGAACUCUCUGCCAUUGAGGCCGAUUCGCGAAAAAGGUAUUCGCACUUGGCCCAAAACUGAUGUUAUUUUUCGUAGAUGGCAUGCACGUCUUGUGAAUCAUAGCCCGACUAAGACGAUUUUUUAUCGUGCUAGGAUUUCAGAUUUAUUAGAAAUUACUCUUCAACCCCCAAUUUCUGACCCAGUGUUUUUUCCUAUUGCUUUGGGUUUUUGGUCUUCUAAGUAUAACACUUUUGUUUUCCCUUUUGGUCCCAUGUCUAUUGCUCUAAGGGACGUUGGAGCCCUAGUAAAUCUUUCGCCUUUGGGCGAUACCAUCUUUUAUGGUAUUUUGAUUUCCAGUGUUGCCCCGAAAUUUGACAAGAAACUUAUUGAAUCCUAUUAAAGCCUGCAAAGCUCUUAUAAUCACUCAAGCGCUGAACCUUCCCAUACUAAGCGUGUGGCCUUCCUUCAGAUUUGGCUUUGUAAAUAUAUUCUUUACGUGCCAAGUAUGAAACCUUCCAUGAGCUACUUACCCAUCGCGCAUGAAUUGGCACGUGGUAGGUCUUUGAACUUAUGUUCUUUCUUUCUAGCCGCCCUUUAUAGAGGCAUGGCUUCCCUUCAAUUUCAACUGAAGAAUGGUGCAUCUCCCACUGGCAGUGGCCCCCUUUGGUUCACUCAGCUGUGGUUGAGAGCAUAUUUUCCACCACUUGGUGCUCCAUCCAUUUUCAAUCGUUCUGCUAGCUGCUAUGAGCUAGCCAUUGAUCCAUUGACCCCUGUACAUAUGUCCAGUAGGGACAUUUUUUCAUUCUUUUAUUCCUUAAAUUCGAUUCCUUCUUUCUUUCCUUUUCCUGCUCAUUUGACCCCAUAUUAUGUGCAACCUCCAUCCACCCUAGACAGUGCGAGUGCCUCCCUGCUUGUUUGGAUAUCUUAACUGAAACCAAUGCCAAAGCUAGGGUUGAAAUAUAUGCUCCCCAAUUUUUUGCUCGCCAACUUGAUUUUAGCGAAACUAGGCCUGUCCCUCCUUGUUACUCUAAAAAUUUGAUAGACCGCUUUCACACCAUUAAUAGGGCAGAGGCACAAGCUAUAGAUGCUCGCAACCUUCUUUUGACGAGCAAGUUUUCAUUAGCCUCUUUCAAUCCUAGUUGUGCUGUCCAUCCUCUUUUUGAACAACUUUAGCUAUCAGUAAACCACCGAUUGUUUGCAACUGAUGCUAAUCGUGCCUUCCAUUUACUGGAUCAGCCAGGCACUCCCUCUACUUUCCCUGUUUUGGUCACCCCUGUGUCCAUUAGGAAUCCUUCUUCCCCUACUCGUGCUAAACAAUCUAUUCGUCCAUCUACUUCUCUACCUACCAAGGCUACUGCAGCUAAGAGUGCAUUAAGCAGCAAACGGCCAAUUUCAGCAUCUUCCAUUUUGGAGGAUGAUGAUGAUGACGAUGAUGAUGAUGACGCUCCUCUCAGCGUUAGGAAAAAGGUAAUUGAAUUCUGUUUAUUCACAAACAUACCUUUCUAUGUGCUAAUGGUUUACUUGAAACCUUUCUAUGUGCUAAUGGUUUACUUGAAUUUCUCAGAAAAGUUCAGCCUCUCCUUUGAAGGCUUUGGUGUUGGCAGCUCCUGCUCCAUCAUCCUCUGCUAAAGCUGCUUUGUUCAAAUCAGCUGAUGAAGGGACUAUGCUUAAAGAGAAACCUUCAGUCCCGGAAUCUUCAUCACAACCAAUGGAAGAGCUACCUUCUUCCCAGGGCACCAACCCCCCAAACAUCGAACCAGAAGGUAAUACAUUUUUGAUGUUUUACCUUUGCUUGUGCUAUUGGUUUCUGAUUUGUUGCUUCUUGAAUUCUGCAGAGGCUCCCAUGGGUCUGCCCGUUGUCACAGGGUCUUCUCGUCCAGAUAAGGGAAAAUCUCCACAGGUGGUGGAGCCAACUGGUGAUAUGCCACUUCCCAAGAUUGCUGAUGAGGUAGCCUUUCGCUUCACUUUCAUUUUCGCUUCAUUUAUUGUAGUGAAAACCUCAAUGUCGGCAUUUUUCUUUGCAGGGUGCUGAUGACAUUGUGCGUUCCAUCCAGGACUUGUUCACUUUCUGGGGGCAAGUCAAGACGUCUCGCCUUACUUCAACCGGUCGUUCUUCUGCUUCUUCAGAGGAAGAUAUGAAGUUCCUCAAGCAGUCGAUAUUUGAGUAUGUGUCUUUUAUGGACAUGGACAUCAGUCAGGCUAGUGCUGCUAAACAUAAGGAUAAGCUUAAGCUAUUGAGUGCGAAGUUGGCGCAAGCACUGACACUUCCGUCGCUCAAUAUUUCUGCUAAUUUUAAAGCGACGUUGAAGGUUGUCCACUCUGACAUGCUCUCCUUGCUGGCCAAAAAUGUUGAACUGAAGGCCAGGAGUACUCAAUAUCUUCGCAUUGCAUCUGAAAGAGAGUUUUUGCUUAUAGAGAUUAACAAAGCCGAGGACGAAUUGAAAGAAAUCUCUUCCGAAGUUAUGAUUCAAGACUCCUUGAUGACCAGUUUGGCUGCAGAUAUGAAGGAGUUUCAAGCAAGGAUGGACGACUGUAAGGCGAGAAUGGCUGCUAAAAAGUGUAAUGCUUCCCAAGGAAUUGAGCGAACCAAGUCUUUGGUCGAGCAGUACAAAAAGCUGGAGGUUAAUGACAAUUUUGUAGCUGAAAAAAUGUCGCUUCUUCUCAGCAGAGCGAGGAUUAGGGGAGACUUAGGGAAAGAAUUCGAUCGGCCUGGGGUAAAUUGUAAUUAAG